rnacentral:tRNA from 3 species
AGUCUCGUAGCUCAGCUGGUUAGAGCGCUACACUGAUAAUGUAGAGGUCCCCAGUUCAAAUCUGGGCGGGACUA